rnacentral:rRNA from 1 species
CCAGUUGUUCCGCCAGGGGCAUGGCUGGGUAGCCAAGUACGGAAAGGAGAAUCGCUGAAAGCAUCUAAGUGAGAAACCAUCCUCAAGAUUAGAUAUCCCAUCUGAAAAGAGUAAGACACCUUUGAGACGAAGAGGUUGAUAGGUCGGAGGUGUAAGUGCAGUAAUGCAUUAAGCUGACCGAUACUAAUAUGUCGAGGGCUUGAUCGA